AGUUUGAUCCUGGCUCAGGAUGAACGCUGGCGGCGUGCCUAAUACAUGCAAGUCGAACGAAUCUCUUUUAGAGAUGAGUGGCGAACGGGUGAGUAAUACAUAGGUAACCUGCCCCUGUGCGGGGGAUAACAGGAGGAAACUCCUGCUAAUACCGCAUAGCCAUGAGCACCGCAUGGAGCUCAUGCCAAAUAUCCUUUAUGGGAUAGCGCAGGGAUGGACCUAUGGCGCAUUAGCUGGUUGGCGGGGCAACGGCCCACCAAGGCAACGAUGCGUAGCCGGCCUGAGAGGGCGGACGGCCACAUUGGGACUGAGACACGGCCCAGACUCCUACGGGAGGCAGCAGUAGGGAAUUUUCGGCAAUGGGGGAAACCCUGACCGAGCAACGCCGCGUGAGCGAAGAAGGCCUUCGGGUCGUAAAGCUCUGUUGUAAAGGAAGAACGGCGCAUACAGGAAAUGGUAUGCGAGUGACGGUACUUUACCAGAAAGCCACGGCUAACUACGUGCCAGCAGCCGCGGUAAUACGUAGGUGGCGAGCGUUAUCCGGAAUCAUUGGGCGUAAAGAGGGAGCAGGCGGCCGCAAGGGUCUGUGGUGAAAGACCGAAGCUAAACUUCGGUAAGCCAUGGAAACCGGGCGGCUAGAGUGCGGAAGAGGAUCGUGGAAUUCCAUGUGUAGCGGUGAAAUGCGUAGAUAUAUGGAGGAACACCAGUGGCGAAGGCGACGGUCUGGGCCGCAACUGACGCUCAUUCCCGAAAGCGUGGGGAGCAAAUAGGAUUAGAUACCCUAGUAGUCCACGCCGUAAACGAUGGUCACUAAGUGUCGGGGGUCAAACCCCGGUGCUGCAGUCAACGCAAUAAGUGACCCGCCUGAGUAGUACGUUCGCAAGAAUGAAACUCAAAUGAAUUGACG
rnacentral:rRNA from 1 species